GGAAACCUAAAAACUAUCGUCGGAUAAAAAAAUGGAUGUCUGAUAUUCGUUCAUGUCAUUAUGAGUAAAAAUUUUACUCGCACAUUGACUCGUGAGUAAAAAGUUUACUAGGAGUGAAAUUUUUACUAAUGAUGUGGAUGAAUCUCAGACGUCCUUUUUUCGAUCCAAUAAUUUUCAGUUUUCA
rnacentral:pre_miRNA from 1 species